rnacentral:rRNA from 1 species
GUGGCUUAAUUUGACUCAACGCGGGAAAUCUUACCGGGUCCGGACACACUGAGGAUUGACAGAUAUAUACCCCGUGAUUUUAUCGCGGGGUUGAAAGAUGCUAGUUCUUUCAUGAUUAUGUGAUAGGUGGUGCAUGGCCGUUCUUAGUUCGUGGAGUGAUCUGUCUGCUUAAUUGCGUAUCAAUAAUAGAGACCUAGUAUACGCGUAGACUCAUGCGGUAGUGACCCCCCUUCACAGGGCGCGUGUCGCACGUAUGUUAUACGCACAGGUCUCCGAUAGCAACGAACGUGACCGUACUCUAUUGUUGCAGCGACAAUACCUUUCAACGGGUAUUACCGCUGCUUAGCAAGAUUCGUCUUGCAUUAAAYUAUAGAGACC